GCCAAGGAGAGGUCGUCACACCUAGAGACGCCUGCAUUUGCAGUAGUCAUGAAGACAAGCCUGACUCUCUUCAGAUUAAAGUGAGAACCAAGGCAUGGAUGGAGUUAGAAGCAUGUUGGUUUCCAACGCUUGCACUCAAGGUUGGUUGCACACAAACCAAGGUGAAGCUGAGCAUGGGAUGUUGGAGAGUCUCCAAGUAGAUUUAGUCAAGGAAUGCAGCACUACAAUUCCAACAGCUUUCCUCAUUCCCCAACAAGUCCACUCCAUUACUUUGAAAGGGAGCUUGAAGCAAAUCCGAAUAUUUCUCAUGUCCUCCACAGAUGGUGCAAUACCUAUUUGUGGUUCAUGGUUAACUCUGAAAUGACCAUGAUUCUGUAUAACUUCCGGAGACUAGAGGUGAAGUGACAUCAUGCAAAUCUUCAUUAGGAACGGGAUCGCUAGAUUUUAGUCACUGCAGAUCAACCUAACUACGUAGUCCCUGUGAGGCCAUCACUAGGCAUAGCGACUGAUGAGAAUGGAUGUCCCGCUUGCCAUCUGAGCCCCCAAGUUAACUGAUGGUGUGGACAGUUGCGAUGGUGCUGCUUGAAAAAGUUUGCAGGCACUCGGACUCCACCAACACAGACACAGCUGGAUGGGAAGUGUCCGGACAUGUAGGACGGAGGAUUGGAGUGGUUUUUGCAUACCUAUACUAAGAAUUUGGAUUUUAUUGUCUACUGAUUGAAAGACCCUGACUUCUUCUCAGCAGGGAGAUGAGUACACAUGACAAAACAUGCGUUUUUAGGAAGCUUACUUUAGUGGCAGUGUGAGGGAAGAACUGAGGAGAAAAAUCCAGAUGAAACUGGGAAGCUAUUGGCAUAAUCCCAGUUAGAGGGAAAAUGAGUCGGAAUUCAGGCAGUGAGAGAAAAAAGUGAUGUGUGGAAAUGAAAAAUAAGGAAAAGAGCAUGGAGUAACCCCAGAAUAAUUGCUUGUAUUUGCAAAUGGUGGCAUCAUCUGCCAAUUAUCUGGAGUACCUUGAAGACUGUCUGUAUCUCAAGAGGACAGGAGCCUACCUCAUCUGAAUAGAUUUAAAUACUAUAGCAGAUACAGUCAAGAGCCAACCCAAAGUGUCUAUGGACUCAUCUUUCCAUGCCAAGGGUUGCAUCAAGGAUGUUCAUGGUUCUUGCACAAGCCUUUCUUGUCAUGGCUUCAACCUUCGACCAGGAGGACUACGAGUAAAAGUGAUGUUCCUGCCUUGGACCCAUGGAUUCACUCCAUCUUUGUCAUUCUAUCUCUGGUGGACAUUGAACUUUAUAAAAUGUGAUAAAAAGUACUUUUAGUCUUGGAAGGAGCAAACUGGACUGUCUGAAAAACAACUUUUUAAGUGAAAACGGGAACUUUUGGUGGAGAUCCACUGUUUCCAAAACCUUGAAGGAACAAAGGUUGCCACUCGCCAGCACCUGGGGAGUCAAUAUGCGUCUAUCAGCUCUUGACUUUGGGCCCAGUGCACCUUCUUGAUCCUGAUUACUGCAGACACCUUCUGAUUCAUCUUCCACAAACCGAGUAUUCGCAGCCCAACUGUUCAGAUGAACCUUAAAUUUCGCCAUGGAUUGGAUCCCCUGUGAACAUGAACCAAAGUAAGCCUGUCUUUGUCAUCCCAGCCACAGAAAGGUGACCAAUACAAAGAAAGAGAAGCAAAGGAAAUUAACCACGAAUGGGUAGAAAGUCUAGCAGUGACCACCCACUGCAAAGAUAAGUAUCAUCCUGCAAAAGGCUCAGAGUUGUUUCAACCUGAGAAGGAGGUUUGGACAUCCCUCACCUGUCAUCCAGAGCCCAAGGGAAGGAACAUACAAAGGCUUGGUCACCUCUGCCUCACCGUGCUUACAUCAGAGAGCUGACAGCAUCCUUCUGCAGAAGCAUAACACAUGUAAGCUACCAAAGAUGAAGACAGACCGAGGCCAGAGUGAGGGUCCAGAAAUGGUUUAAAAAGGCUCCAGGUAUAAUACUGACAUUUUCUUCUAGUAAAG
ensembl:lncRNA